rnacentral:piRNA from 1 species
UGAAUGGUUCUUUGUACUUGUUGAUGG